AGGGGUGCAUAUCUAACAACAAAUAUAUAUUAGUUAAUAGACAACACUAAUUAGUUAAUAGUUUAUCUUACUUUUAUUGAUUUUUGAUCAACCAAUGAGUCAGUUACUGUGUAGUGUAGACUAUAAAGUACGAGUAUCUAUCUCUUGAUCUAUCUAGAGCAUAGAUAUAUUAUAUAUGUCCAGACUCCAGAGAUAUCCGGGGAAUGGUCUGGCUAGAGAAAUACCCUAAGCUAAAAGAAGAGACGAGCCACCGAUAUCCAGAGAGAGAGACGCACAAAAAUUAUUAAUUUUAUUCAUUAUGACUUGUCCCGGGGGCGCGACACACCUAGAUCUUAUCCCUGUAUUAUCUUCGUCAUCCUUUUCUUAUAGUUUUCCACUUGUAGGUUGUUCUUUUAAUGGGUCACUGAUUCAAUUACCACUUAUUGACCACAUAUAGAUCUAAAAUUUACUUUAUUACAAGAGGGAUGGAUCAUAGAAGGUUCCGCUCUUAUGAUACUUGGUUUAAGCCUCAUAUUGCAUUUCCUCCAAGAAAAAUAGCAGAUUGUAUAGUCAAUACUGACUAUA